UAAUCAUAUGCUUGUCUCAAAGAUUUAGCCAUGCAUGUCUAAGUUCACGCCUUAAUACGGUGAAACCGCGAAUGGCUCAUUAAAUCAGCUAUGGUUUAUUGGAUUGUGAACGUUAAAUGGAUAACUGUAAUAACUCUAGAGCUAAUACAUGCCUGAUAAGCCCUGACUCGUAGUCGGUGGGUAUUAAAAGGCUUACCGAUUGCGAGGAUGGGUGCACUUAUUAGUUCAGAAGCCAACCUGGCCGGUUAGCUGCCGUGCCUGUUGAUAAGCAUUCUGGUGACUCUGGAUAAUUGUUGCGGAUCGCAGUGAGCCAUUUGAGCUGGCGACGGAUCCUUCAAAUGUCUGCCCUAUCAACUAUCGAUGGUAGGUGACCUGCCUACCAUGGUGAUAACGGGUAACGGGGAAUCAGGGUUCGAUUCCGGAGAGGGAGCCUGAGAAAUGGCUACCACUUCCAAGGGGGGCAGCAGGCGCGCAAAUUACCCACUCCCGGCACGGGGAGGUGGUGACGAAAAAUACUGAUGCGGGACUCAUACGAGGCCCCGUAAUCGGAAUGAGUGUACUUUAAAGCCUUGAAUGAAGACCAAUUGGUAGGGCAAGUCUGGUGCCAGCAGCCGCGGUAACUCCAGCUCCAAUAGCGUAUAUUAAAGUUGCUGCAGUUAAAAAGCUCGUAGUUGGAUCUCGGCAGCAUUGAUGCAUACCAUUGUCAAGUUAGUGAGUGGCAUAAUGGUACGGUCUGUUUGGCUAUAGUCCGCACUGCGCUAGGCCUACUACCUGUGUGUGUUUGGCAUGUAACAGUGCUAGCAUAACGGUAAGUGCGACAGCAACGGCGGCAAUUUGUCAAGGCCUAUCAGUCGCUUGUCUAGUUGACUGGUGUGAUAGUGUCAGUGCGGCCUUUCAGCCAUGUCUGUGGUCUAAACAACCGCAGGUGUAGGCGGGUGUCGAGCGGUCUCAGAGCCUUGUUGUUUUGGUCCGCGGCUCGUCGGCAUGCCGCCGGAUGCCCUUAACCGGGUGUCUGGUGGCGGAUGGCACGUUUACUUUGAACAAAUUUGAGUGCUCAAAACAGGCCUUGGUGGCGUGAAAAGUUUUGCAUGGAAUAAUAGAAUAGGACUUCGGUUCUAUUUUGUUGGUUUUCAGAUCCGAAGUAAUGAUCAAAAGAGACGGGCGGGGACGUUUGUAUGGCAGCGAUAGAGGUGAAAUUCAUUGACCGUUGCCAGACACACUGAUGCGAAAGCAUUCGUCAAGCAUGUUUUCAUUGACCAUGAGCAAAAGUCAGAGGCUCGAAGACGAUCAGAUACCGUCGUAGUUCUGACCAUAAACGAUGCCAACUGACGAUCUGUGGUGGAUGGAUAGUGGUCCCCACAGGCAGUCACCGGGAAACCUUUAAGUCUAUGGGUUCCGGGGGAAGUAUGGUUGCAAAGCUGAAACUUAAAGGAAUUGACGGAAGGGCACCACCAGGAGUGGAGCCUGCGGCUUAAUUCGACUCAACACGGGAAAACUCACCCGGCCCGGACACUGUGAGGAUUGACAGAUUGAAAGAUCUUUCUUGAUUCAGUGGUUGGUGGUGCAUGGCCGUUCUUAGUUGGUGGAGUGAUUUGUCUGGUUAAUUCCGAUAACGAACGAGACUCUAGCCUGCUAAUUAGUACGCCUGUCCUCCGUAUCUGUUGUCAGCGGCGCAGUCUCGGUGCAAAAUUGCUGUUAAUUAAAGUAGCGUUCACAUUCUCGGCAAUAGUAACAACGCUUGCACUGUCAGCAUGCACUGUCAACUAGUACCGAAUAGUCUUUAAGCGCGCUGCUACCUGCUUGCCUAUAGGUGGCUCGUAGUUGAGCGUCAGUCAGUGAUUUGGUGAUUGGCUAAUCGUGAAUAGUUCCAAAUGAAUGGCUGUCGUUGUUAUUAUUCUUAGUAGUGAUGGUAGAUUAUACUUGCUAGUAGUAGAAUAAGGCAAGGUUAUAGUAGAAUAGGAAAGAGUUAGUUAGUUAGUUAGUUAAUGAUAAAUGAACGUAUUAAGUCAACUUCUAUUGCUGUAGCAUCCAGUCGCUGGCUGCUGCGGCAGUAGUCACCGGCGUGCAUUUCUUUAUGCUCGUGUGUGUGUAUAUAUAGAGUUGACUUAUUGCCUACUAUCAACUAACUACUACUGCUGCUACCGCUACUAAUAUUGCUGCUUCUACUGUUAGUAGUAUUACUACUAUUAUUAUUGAUUAUAUUAACGCUGCCAUCAUCAUUGGUACUAGCGGCUGGCUAGUUAGCUUGUUAGUUGGAUGAUGCUUAAUGGUUGCGUGUCACGUAUGUGGCCAGUUGCUGUGCUCUUAUAUGGCUUAAUAGGCCUUAAUAGGCAUGCUUGUUGAUGGUGGUGGUGGCGCCUGUUGUCGUUAAUGGGGUUGGGGGUUCUAUCUCCUUCUCGUUUACAGCGUUGGCAGUAGUUGCCGAGCGCAGUUGACAGUGAAGAUAUGGCGCAGGUGGCUGCUUCUUAGAGGGACUUAUGGUUCAAUCCAGAUGAAAUUGAGCAAUAACAGGUCUGUGAUGCCCUUAGAUGUCCGGGGCCGCACGCGCGCUACAAUGACGGUGCCAACGAGUUUGAAAUUCUGGUCCGAAAGGACUGGGUAAACUGUUUAAUCACCGUCGUGACAGGGAUCGGGGCUUGGAAUUGUUCCCCGUGAACGAGGAAUUCCUAGUAAGUGCAAGUCAUAAGCUUGCGCUGAUUACGUCCCUGCCCUUUGUACACACCGCCCGUCGCUACUACCGAUUGAAUGGUUUAGCAAGGUCACUAGAUUGAUGCUAUUUCUGUUAUCACCGUAAGGCGUUGGCAGAAGAGGCGACAAGAAGCUGGCCGAACUUGAUCAUUUAGAGGAAGUAAAAGUCGUAACAAGGUUUCCGU
rnacentral:rRNA from 1 species